GUUCUCACUUCAACAGCACACAUACUAAAAAAUUGAAAUGAUACAGAGAAGAUUAGCAUGGCCCCUGCACAAAGAUGAAACGCAAAUUCGUGAAGCAUUCCAUAUUUUU